CUAAGUUCUACAAUCCCUUUAAUUGGGCUUGUUUGUGGGGUUGAGCUUGAAUUGCUUGUAUCAGCUAUCCUCUCCCCGAUCGUGACCUUGCCCUUUAGGUCCAAAUCUGGAAACAUGUAGCAGUUGGUAGAAGCUAUCCAAGUUGUCUCCUCCCGUGGUGCUGGUUGAAAUGCCGCAGGUGCUGUAGCCAGCACCAGGGUCGCAGUCGACGGUUUUCUAUGGAACUCCUUAAACAUGGAAAUAUGGAAGACGGGUGAAUCGUGCUGUCAGCAGGAAGCCACCUUCCCUACACGAUGCAUGAUGCGGUAGAAAUCCAGCUCAUCAUUCAAUAUCUUACGGGUCCUCAUAAAGAGAUAGACUUUUAGCAUAGGGAAAGCGCCAGGAUAGUAGCCCGGGAGCAAGUUCAUGGCGAAACCGUGUAAUGCCUCAUGCGGUGUCAUCUGUAUUGUGGAGUGAAAUGAGCUAUUAUAGAAAAAUUCAACCCAG